ACAGGACGGAAAGCCCCCGUGGAGCUUUACUGCAACCUGAUAGGGAAUGUUUGUCCCGCUUGUACAGGAUAGGUAGGAGCCGAAGAGACGUGUGCGCUAGCAUACGAGGAGGCAAUGGUGGGAUACUACCCUGGCUGUAUGACCAUUCUACCCCGCCACGCUUAGCGCGUGGGGAGACAGUGUCAGGUGGGCAGUUUGACUGGGGCGGUCGCCUCCUAAAGAGUAACGGAGGCGCCCAAAGGUUCCCUCAGAAUGGAUGGAAAUCAUUCGCAGAGUGU
rnacentral:rRNA from 1 species